rnacentral:rRNA from 1 species
UACGUAGGGGCCGAGCGUUGUCCGGAAUUAUUGGGCGUAAAGGGCUCGUAGGCGGUUCGUCAAGUCGGGGGUGAAAACUCAGGGCUCAACCCUGAGCGUGCUUCCGAUACGGGCUGACUAGAGGUAUGCAGGGGAGAACGGAAUUCCUGGUGUAGCGGUGGAAUGCGCAGAUAUCAGGAGGAACACCGGUGGCGAAGGCAGGUCUCUGGGCAGUAACUGACGCUGAGGAGCGAAAGCAUGGGGAGCGAACAGG